UCCCAUGUGGCUCAGUUGGUAGAGCAUGGUGUUUGCAACGCCAGGGUUGUGGGUUUGAUUCCCAAGGGGG
rnacentral:tRNA from 1 species